rnacentral:lncRNA from 10 species
GGCCUAUUAAAGAAUCUUAAACCUCCCCUCCAUAACAGGAAAGACAUGGGAAAAAUCAAAAGAAACCAGAGGGCCAGGCAUGGUGGUGGACACCUGUAAUCCCAGAGCCUUGGGAGGCCAACGCAGGAGAACUGCUUAAGUCAAGGAGUUUGAGACCAGCCUGGGAAACAUAGCCAGACCCCAUCUAUACAAAAAAUUUAAAAAUUAGCCAGGCAUGUAGAAGGACUGCUUGAGCCCAGGAGUUGGAUGUGGCAGUGAGCCUUUGCACUCUGGCCUGGGCAACUGAGCAACACUGUCUCUUAAAAAAGAAAGAAACAAACAAGAAAAGUUAGGGGCACUGAACUUAAAACCCAAGAAGAGAUUUCAAAGUUUCAUUUGAGCUAAUUUAAAGGUGUGUAAAUAUCCACUACAAUAUAAGGUUAGGGGACCCGCACCGUGGCUCACGCAUGUAAUCCCAGCACUUUGGGAGGCCAAGGUGGGCAGAUCACUUGAGGCCAGGAGUUCAAGACCAGUCUGGCCAACAUGGCGAAACCCCAUCUCUACAAAAAAUACAAAAAUCAGCCAGGCGUGUUGGCAUGCACUUGUAAUCCCAGCUACUCAGGAGACUGAGACACAAGAAUAGCUUGAACCCAGGAAGUGCAGGUUGCAGUGAGCUGAGACUGCACCACUGCACUGCAGCCUGGGUGACAGAGCAAGACUCUGUCAUUAAAAAAAAAAAAAAAAAAAAAAAACCCGGCUGGGCGCAGUGGCUCACACCUGUAAUGCCAGCACUUUGGGAGGCCGAGGUGGGUGGAUCACUUGAGGUCAGAAGUUCAAGACCAGCCUGACCAACGUGGUGAAACCCCAUCUCUACUAAAAAUACAAAAUUAGCUGAGCAUGCUGACACAUGCCUGUAAUCCCAGCUACUCGGGAGGCUGAGGCAGGUGAAUCACUUGAACCCUGGAGGUGGAGGUUGCCGUGAGCCGAGAUCAUGCCAUUGCACUCCAGCCUGGGUGACAAGGGCGAAACUCCACCUCUAAAAAAAAAGCAGGGGUGGGGAAUCUGCAUGAACUCACAGAACCAAUACUGCCAAUGCUGUAGGUAGUACUGUAGAGUCAGGAUUUUAAAUAAAGUCAUUCCAGAGUCCACAUUCUUACAUUCUUUGUUUGUUUGUUUUGAGACAGAGUCUCACUCUGUUGCCCAGGCUGUAGUGCAGUGGUGCAAUCUCAGCUCACUUGCAACCUCCACUGCCCAGGUUCAAGCAAUUCUCCUGCCUCAGUCUCCCAAGUAGCUGGGACUAUAGGAACGUGCCACCAUGCCCAGUUUCACUAUUUGGCCAGACUGGUCUCAAACUUCUGACCUAAGGUAAUCUGCCCACCUCAGCCUCCCAAAGUCCUGGGAUUCCAGGCGUGAGCCACUG